rnacentral:rRNA from 1 species
GGUCUUGAUGUUGUAAAUCUUGUAAGGCUUUAGCAAUUUAAAAGCGGAGAAGCAACAAGAUGGAUUUCAUUGUUUGUUGAUUUAAAGCUGAGUUUUAUCCCUAUAAAGCUUCAAAGGGUCUUUUUGUCCUUUAGUGUCAG